UACGGGGGGGGCAAGCGUUGUUCGGAAUUACUGGGCGUAAAGCGCGCGUAGGCGGCUUUUCAAGUCAGACGUGAAAGCCCCAGGCUUAACCUGGGAAUUGCGUUUGAUACUGUUAGGCUAGAGUGUGGAAGGGGCUACUGGAAUUCCGUGUGUAGCGGUGAAAUGCGUAGAUAUACGGAGGAACACCAGCGGCGAAGGCGGGUAGCUGGGUCAACACUGACGCUGAUGCGCGAAAGCUAGGGUAGCAAACGGG
rnacentral:rRNA from 1 species